rnacentral:ncRNA from 5 species
UUGAUCCUUCGAUGUCGGCUCUU